GUCUCUUUGCUGCUCCUUGAUCUAGAGAGAGAGUGUUUUGGGUGGGAGAGGCUUUUUUGUCUGAGCCCACUGGUAUUUCCAGGCUCCCUGUGUCUCCAGCACCCAGAUUUCCUCAAAUCCUCAAACGCUGAGCACCUGUUGGCAAGGUUGACCAAUUUUCCUUUGCCUUGUCUGAUUAUCUUCAGAGUCUGUUUGUACACGAGCACAUACUUUCCACUUUCCAUAGAAAGUUGGAGCCUAGAGUUGAUUGACUCCAGAGACUUUUGCAUCUUCUUCGUGGCCACCAUCUUUCUGUCUUCAGUGCAGGAUGGCCCCCAAUCAAGAGUAGCCACCAAGAUGGUCAAGGAACGAGAAAGGAAGAAGUUCAUUCUCACAGUGCAAGAAGCUCUUCAUGGCAGAGCCAGGACACCAGGACACUAUAGUGAUUUGUUUUGAACUAUUACUUGUAUGUAGUUUUAUUUUUUUAAAUUAUGCUCCUUUACAUUCAUUUAUUUAUUUAUUUAUUUAUUUAUUUUUGAUACCAGGGAUCGAACUCGGGACCUUGCCCUUGCAGGGCAGGCAGCAGAACCACUGAGCUAAAUCCCCCGCUCUACUUGUAUGUAGUUUUAAAUGACAGGAAUCUGAUCCGGCUAUUUUUAACACAAAAAGUGGGAUAAGGGGAGUGGAGAGAUAUGAGAAGAACACAGGACUUGCCACAGGUUAUUUUUGAAUGUCACUGAACCAAAAAACCAAGGCAAGUUCAAGUUUCUUAACAAUAAAUCCAUAGAUCUUUUUCCUAGGUGUUAGGGUUUGUGUCUAGAUGUCCCUCCAAAGCCCCAUGCAGUCACAGGGCUUUUUCAGAAGUGGCUGAAUCUAGAGUGUGUGAUGCUGGGGUUAAGGGUGUGAUUACUAAAUCAGUCCACUGAUUGUUUUGGCACCACUCUAAUCGCAGGAGUCUGGAUAAAAUAAAAGGUACAGAAAGAGGCUUAUCUUCUCUUGUUGCUUUUGCUACUGUGUGGGCGCCAUGAACUGUUUCUCCUCUGCAAUGCCUGCCCCUCUGCCAUGUGCCACUCUGCCUUGGAGCCAGCCGACUGUGGCCUGAAACCUCUACAAACUGAGCUAAAUAAACCCUUUCCCCUUUAACUUUGGGUGUCAG
ensembl:lncRNA